rnacentral:rRNA from 1 species
CCUACGGGAGGCAGCAGUGGGGAAUUUUGCGCAAUGCUCGUAAGAGUGACGCAGCGACGCCGCGUGAAUGACGAUGGCCUUCGGGUCGUAAAGUUCUUUCGACAGGGAAGAAAAUGCCUAUCAGUAACUGUGUAUGGAUUGACGGUACCUGUAUAAGCAGCCCCGGCUAACUCGGUGCCAGCAGCCGCGGUAAUACGGCGGGGGCGAGCGUUGUUCGGAGUGACUGGGCGUAAAGAGCACGUAGGCGGUGUUGUAAGUACUUAGUCAAAGACUAGAGGUCAACUUUAGUAAGGCUAGUGAUACUAUAAUACGAGAGUAUCAGAGAGGAUUGCAGAAUUCCUGGUGUAGCGGUGAAAUGCGUAGAUAUCAGGAGGAAUACCGUUAGCGAAGGCGGCAAUCUGGCUGGAAACUGACGCUGAGGUGCGAAAGCGUGGGUAGCAAACAGGAUUAGAUACCCGGGUAGUC